rnacentral:rRNA from 1 species
GGUGAACGCUGGCGGUGCGCCUAAUACAUGCAAGUCGAACGAAAAACUGAAUUUAUUCAGUGGAAAGUGGCGGACGAGCGAGUAACACGUAAGAACCUGCCCCAUACUCGGGGAUAACUGGCCGAAAGGUCAGCUAAUACCGGAUAGUCUCUUCGGAGUAAAGAUUUAUCGGUGUGGGAGGGGCUUGCGGCUUAUCAGUUUGUUGGUGGGGUAAUGGCCUACCAAGACUAUGACGAGUAGCUGAUGUGAGAGCAUGAUCAGCCGCGAUGGAACUGAGACACGGUCCAUACUCCUACGGGAGGCAGCAGUAAGGAAUCUUCCGCAAUGGGCGAAAGCCUGACGGAGCGACACCGCGUGGUGGAUGACGCUUUUCGGAGUGUAAACACCUUUUAUGAGGGAAGAAAAUCUGACGGUACCUCAUGAAUAAGCCCCGGCUAAUUACG